UCUAAGAAUUGUUACUUUGAGAAACAGAGGAAAAUACCUCUGGGACAAUAGGGCUCUGGGCUCUGGCUUGAACCCCAAACUGGGAGAUCUUGUCUGCUUUUAACGUAUUUUCUUUUUUUGUUUCCAAAUAUUGCUCUGGGAGGAAAAUACUGCUGACUGCUUCCAUAGUCUUCCCUCUGAGGCAUCAGAUAUCAGUGGAAGCCUCUUCUGGCAAGGAGUUCUACAGCUGGAGUCCUGCCAAUGCAAAUGCUGCCUCCCGGCCUGAUCAUCUGAACUUUGGAUGUCUCGUUGCACUGUCAAUGAGUAGCUGCUUUGGACGGUCAUGGAUGAUGAUGACGUCUGAGGUACUGCAAUUGUUUCUACUUGAUAUUGGAGUCUAAUGUGGAGGACAAAAGCAUCGCUACAGUGGUUAAGUUCUUCUCCUUAGACAGGAGUGCGGUUUCCAGACCACUGGAAGAUGCAGCAUUAUCAACCCUAAACAUUCACAAAUCAUGAGUCAGGACGCAAAGACUCAUGAGAUCAAUUUAAAAAUUGAGAUUUAAAAAAACAACAAAAAGCACAUUUGGGGUCAUUUUACUUAUAGUUUUUGAGCCUUUCAGACAGUCUUGGGUCACAUCUUCAUCGUUUUGUUCACAAUCACGAGAACUAGAAACAUUUUUUUUAAUGAAUGCUGAUUCUCACAUAAUCACAGGACUCCAGGAUUUGGGACUCUGUUUUUUUUCCCCUUAAUCAUGGCACGACUUGCAGUACAAUCCUAGAGUGGGCUACACUGAAGAUUCAUAAAGGAAUGCCUUGCUACUGUGCUAAUCUGCACAUCCAGGAACGGUGAUGAUUCAAGCAUGGCCCGAGGCAUCAUGAUUUGCAGUCAUAUGCCCUUAAUCACUGGUGAGGUCAAUGUUAUGAUGUUUAAGGACUUCAACUUCACAGAAGUGUUCACACUCUGGGGAAGAACUGACAACAGCAGAAACAUUUCUACAAGUCUCUGAGACAGUGAUGGGCUGUAGGGAAACUGCAAAUGCAACUGUUUGUGAUAAGCUGGAUGGACUGUUCACAAAUCUACUUGACUCAUGCCAUGCAAGGUCUGGAAUGGGGUACCCUGGAACUUGACAAGACCCUAAACAGGAAGAAUAGUAUGAGGCUAUACGGACCUUAUAAGAGAAGAAACCACUUUGGGGAAGUCCGUUGUUGGAGAGGUUCCAAAGGCUCCAUGUAGGGCCCAUUUUACCAAAUUGAAAGAUGUGCUGCAGCAGGGUUCUUGACUCGUUUGGAAAGUCUGGAACACAAAGCAUAGAAAGCUGCCCAGUGCUCAAGAGAGAGAUUUGGUGCUGCAGAAUUUACAAAAGCCGCCCAUGCUGAUUCACGACUGAAGCGCUGGCAAUGGAGGAGCUGCACCCAGAAUUAUCCUGCCGUGGUUUGUAAUUCCUAUCUGAAUUAUCAAUUGUUUUUGUUCAUCUAUGUAAUCAGCGAGCUUCUGACAGCGAAGGUUGGUCCAGUAUGUUCUCUAAACAGCUUUGGACAUAAUUGGUAAUUACUUUUAUUCUGUUCUCCUGGAACAUAUUCAGGAGAAUGAGCUGCCUCUCCACUGCUGCCAGAGAAAGGAGAUCUGUAAUUUAAGGAACUGGAGACCUAACUCUUUACUUUGCUCCAAUUACAAGAUAUUGUUAAACUCUAGCAAAUUGUUAAAGCAAAAAAAAAUUACAUGGACUCAGCAGCACAGUGUGAGCCAUCUUUUUGCAUUGUAAAUCCAGUUGUUGAGAAAUUGUUUUUAAUCCGACAUGACUUAACUGUUUGCAGACUUCUUACUAUUCAGCUCAUUUCAGUACAUCUGGAAAAAGCGCUUCAUGGGGUUGAUCGGAAAUAUUUGCUUAGAACUCUACAAGCUUUUGGAACU